AUGAUGUUUCCUCCGUCCCAAAACUCUUGUCUUAGAUUUGUCUAGAUACCGUAUCUAGUUAGAUACAUCCGUUAGAUACAUCCGUAUCUAGAAAAAUCUAAGACAAGAAUUUUGAGAUGGAGGGAGUACUAA
rfam:Triticum aestivum genome assembly, contig: Triticum_aestivum_CS42_TGACv1_scaffold_129977_2BL